rnacentral:rRNA from 1 species
UGAGGAACAUGACUUUCGGCGGGGGAUAGCCGGCCCAACGGCCGGGUAAUACCGCGUACGACCUCUCGGGGACAUCCCCGGUUGGUGAAGGCAGCAAUGCACCGAAAGAGUGCCUCGCGGCCUAUCAGCUAGUUGGUGGGGUAAUGGCUCACCAAGGCAACGACGGGUAGCUGGUCUGAGAGGAUGGCCAGCCACAUUGGGACUGAGACACGGCCCAGACUCCGUACGGGAGCAGCAGG